AGAGUUUGAUCCUGGCUCAGGAUGAACGCUAGCGGCAGGCUUAACACAUGCAAGUCGAGGGGCAGCGGGGUGUAGCAAUACACUGCCGGCGACCGGCGCACGGGUGCGUAACGCGUAUGCAACCUACCCAUAACAGGGGCAUAACACUGAGAAAUUGGUACUAAUUCCCCAUAAUAUUCGAAGAGGCAUCUCUUUGGGUUGAAAACUCCGGUGGUUAUGGAUGGGCAUGCGUUGUAUUAGCUAGUUGGUGGGGUAACGGCUCACCAAGGCGACGAUACAUAGGGGGACUGAGAGGUUAACCCCCCACAUUGGUACUGAGACACGGACCAAACUCCUACGGGAGGCAGCAGUGAGGAAUAUUGGUCAAUGGACGCAAGUCUGAACCAGCCAUGCCGCGUGCAGGAUGACGGCUCUAUGAGUUGUAAACUGCUUUUGUACGAGGGUAAACUCACCUACGUGUAGGUGACUGAAAGUAUCGUACGAAUAAGGAUCGGCUAACUCCGUGCCAGCAGCCGCGGUAAUACGGAGGAUUCAAGCGUUAUCCGGAUUUAUUGGGUUUAAAGGGUGCGUAGGCGGUUAGAUAAGUUAGAGGUGAAAUCCCGGGGCUUAACUCCGAAAUUGCCUCUAAUACUGUUUGACUAGAGAGUAGUUGCGGUAGGCGGAAUGUAUGGUGUAGCGGUGAAAUGCUUAGAGAUCAUACAGAACACCGAUUGCGAAGGCAGCUUACCAAACUAUAUCUGACGUUGAGGCACGAAAGCGUGGGGAGCAAACAGGAUUAGAUACCCUGGUAGUCCACGCAGUAA
rnacentral:rRNA from 1 species